CAACUUCUUGAGUGGGAGUUUAAGUUCACCAAAGUGGCACAGCUUCUGUCAUAACAUGCGCUUUCUCGACUUGUCCAACAACCAGUUCACCGGAUCAAUACCAAAGGCAUUUGGAAACUGCACAAGAAUGGCACGACUCAGCAUCGAUAACAAUGAACUCAGUGGAGAAAUACCUUCGACUCUGGGAGCUCUUUCUAUGAUGGUGGAGUUUACCAGUAGGGACAACCAACUUGUAGGACGUGUUCCCUCCAGUCUUGGAAACUGCUCGUACUUGAUGGUCUUGGACUUAGCCAGCAACUCGCUGUCAGGAGAGCUUGGAGAGUGGAUUUACCAGCUCAAGUUUUUAAACGUCCUCAGCAUCGGCUCGAACAACUUCGUUGGAGAUAUCCCAGUUGAAUUUGGAAACUUUUCUUCGCAGCUCAUGGCAAUCGAUUUGUCAGAGAAUAGAUUUAGUGGCACCUUACCAGCACAGUUCAGUUUCCCAACCACCGAACAAGGCCCUCUCGCGGGACUUCAGUAUGUUGUAAACCUCCGCUUCUAUUCCACGCUCCGAGAGAGAAAGCGGCUGUACACUAGUAUUCGUUUUGGAGCAGCAUACCUUGACAUGUCUGGUAAUAGCUUCCAAGGUAGUAUUCCAGACUCGUUGGGGAACUUUUCCCGGCUAUCAUAUCUCGAUCUUUCCCGAAACCAAUUCGUUGGACAAGUUCCACAUACUCUUGGAAGCCUUCACCUGCUCCAGGCGUUAGAUCUAUCUAGCAACAGGCUUUCAGGGAGCAUACCUCGAGAACUCACAGAGAUACCUCAGAUGUCAUAUUUUAACGUGUCAUAUAACAAUCUGACUGGUGCCGUUCCGCAGGGAGCUCAGUUCAACACGUUCACCGAGGAUUCAUACAUUAGUAAUCCAGGACUUUGUGACUUCCCUCUGAGCCCUUGUGAUCCUAAAACCCACAGUUACAUCAACAGCACGGAAUUAAGAAAUCCAGCAAAAGGAGCUCACCUGGAUACGGUCAUUAUUUUUCUUACUUCGAUCUCGUUAUGUUCACUGGCGUUUAUGGCAUUGCUUAUAUAUUAUCCCUGCUCACGGACAAAGGAAGAGUCAGAUGAGAAAAUUCAAACUAUGAGCAUUAUCGAGGGAGAAAUUUGGAGUGCAACUCGAGGAUUCAACAAAGACAACAUCGUAGACAAGGGAGGAUGCAGCACGAUCUAUCGGGGUGUUUUGAGAGACGGGCAGACUGUCGCUGUGAAGGUUUACAAGCAUUCAGACCACACAGGCGAGGAGCAGUUUAUCGCUGAAUACAACAGCCUUAAAGACUUAAGACACAGGAACAUCGUGAGAAUCAUCGAGUGGUGUUCCGAGAGCAAGCUCAAGGCGCUAGUUUUCAAGUUCAUGGACAACGGCAGCCUAGAAAAGCAGCUUCACGAGCUUCAUGGGUCAAAUCUGCCAUGGACGGUACGCAUGAACGUCGUCCAGGGAGUUGCUAAUGCACUGAGCUACUUACACGAGGAGGCAGCAAGCACUGGACCCAUAAUUCACCGAGACAUCAAGCCAGCAAACAUCUUCCUGGACCAAAACAUGGAAGCACACCUUGGGGACUUUGGGAUAGCCACGAAUUUACGACUGGAAAGCAGCAUGCAUUGGGAAAGCAAGCUCAAAGGCUCGAUCGGCUAUGUGGCACCAGGUACUUUAUAGUAUAGAGAGGAAAAAAAGGAAGCUGACGCUACUAAAGUAUGCAGAGUAUGGCUCGGAUGGAACAAUGACCACCGCGGCAGACGUCUACAGCUAUGGAAUCGUGAUUCUAGAGACGCUUACCAAGAUCCGACCGACGAGCGGCACGCUCAAAGGUAUUUCGCUGCGGAGCUGGGUGGAAUCACACCUGGUCGAAGGUCGGCUGGAAGACGUGCUGGAUCCCGUCCUCCGCCAAGAUUCGACCGCAGAGAGGAGCAUCGACGCCGUGGCCAGGAUCGGGCUCGUGUGUAGCCACCCGAUCGCCGCGGCGCGACCGCGAAUGGGGCAAGUAAGCGCCAUUCUCCGCUCUACAAUCCCUAAUCUUGUUUGCGAUAGCCCUGCCUGUGUCUCAUAACAAGGUCUUUUGUUUCUACUCCAGUAGUCUAGGAAUAUUCUAGGAAGUGUUUAGAAAAU
rnacentral:lncRNA from 1 species